rnacentral:rRNA from 1 species
AUUGAACGCUGGCGGCAUGCCUUACACAUGCAAGUCGAACGGUAACAGGGAGCUUGCUCCGCUGACGAGUGGCGAACGGGUGAGUAAUGCGUCGGAACGUGCCGAGUAGUGGGGGAUAACGCAUCGAAAGGUGUGCUAAUACCGCAUACGUACUGAGGUAGAAAGUGGGGGACCUUCGGGCCUCACGCUAUUCGAGCGGCCGACGUCUGAUUAGCUAGUUGGUGAGGUAAAGGCGCACCAAGGCGACGAUCAGUAGCGGGUCUGAGAGGAUGAGCCUCCACACUGGGACUGAGACACGGCCCAGACUCCGACGGGAAGCAGCAGUGGGGAAUUUUGGACAAUGGGCGCCAGCCUGAUUCAGCCAUGCCGCGUGUCUGAAGAAGUCCUUCGGGUUGUAAAGGACUUUUGUCCGGGGGCAAAUGCCUGGUGUUAAUAGCAUCGGGAGCUGAGAGUACCGGAAGAAUAAGCACCGGCUAACUACGUGCCAGCCGCCGCCGUAAUAC